GGAGAGGUGCCGGAGCGGUUGAUCGGGCUCGUCUCGAAAACGAGUAAGGCUUCACGGCCUUCGAGGGUUCGAAUCCCUCCCUCUCCG
rnacentral:tRNA from 1 species